rfam:Capsicum annuum cultivar Zunla-1 chromosome 10, whole genome shotgun sequence
AUAACUUUAACGGCCUUUCGGCUAAGAUCAAGUGAAGUAUAUGUUCUUAUCAGUUUACUAUCUGACUAUCUGAUAUGUGAACCAUUGGUUCACACGAUGUUAGCUCAUUUUUUUAUGGGGGAAGGUCCUUUAGAGUUAGCUUGCUGCUUGGACCUUCAUGCGUCGCUUAGGUGUAACACAACAGCCUUGGCCUGGUGCACCCCAC